GAUCAAUCCUAGCCCCUACGGUGGAGAGAGAAAGUAAAACAGACGUGGGUGCCGCUCCGCUCUGGUUUUCCUCCAUUAGAGGGUGUGUAUAGAAAUUUUGAGUUUAGAGUUUUUAUUUUAAAGUUAAUUAUUUUUAUAAUAAAAAAAUUGAUUUAAAUUAUUAAAUCUCUAUUAAAUAAAUAAAAAAAAGGUGGGCGAACAAGUUGAAGUAGCUGUGGUGGAAUUAGCGUGAGUGGUGGCGGAGUUGUUGGGGAAUUGGUUGUCUCAUAGUGCGCAUUUCACUACACCUUGCACGCUAGUACCUUUGCUUUCCUUUCCUUUCCCACUCACUUGCUCCCUGGUGGUUGCCACCAUCUUCUCUUAACUACAUCUCACCCACUUUUUUCCCACACAACAAUGAUAC
rnacentral:misc_RNA from 1 species